CAAACCUGACAGAAUUUUUUAUGGAAUAAUGUAUGUUUUAAUUUUGUUGUGAACUGUGCUCUUUUUCUAGGCCUUCAUUCACAGCAGAGUACUCAGCCUUUUAUCAGAAAUGGGAGUCAGCCAGUACACCAGAAGCAGCAGAAGAAUCUAAUGAUUCAGAAUAUAAAGUUUUAAGAAGUUUCUCUAAUGAGAUGCUGCAUUCUAAACAGAAAGCAGUAGAACAUAAAGCAUGCUGCAGGAAACGACAAAACAAGAACCCAGACGAGCAGCUUCUUGACCUUUUGCUGGGCUCUUUGGCUUCCUGCAGCCGACAGAGAUUACGAGCUUUGAAAAUGGGAAUGGAGCAUCUUGCUGACCUGGACACACGCUCAAUUUCUGUUUUUAAUU